GGGGGGGGGGGGGGGGGGGGGGGGGGGGGGGGGGGGGGGGGGGGGGGGGGGGGGGGGGGGGCGCAUGCGCGGGCCUGCGCUGCGGCGGGGCGGACAACGCCCCCUGCCGGGCGGCAGAGCCGGACCGUCACUAAAGAAGACGAGACCUGGAAAGAUGGACAAACAGAAUUUGUGAGAGAACAUUUCUCAAUGGCUGGAAAAGUGUUUGAAACAAGUGACCCAGCUGGCUGACCCAAAGUGGUAUGAAUGUUGUAGAUUUCCAGAGUGGACUUUUUUAUAGCUCUUCGAGGAGAAGUUUAGCUGAAGGAACAGAUCAGAAAAUAGAAGCAAAUGAAAUUUGAGCCACUGUGAGUUUUCCUGUUAUUUUUCCAAACUUUUUUGAGCACGUACUUUCAGUCAGCUAAAGAACUCCCUCAUUUGUCCUGCCUAUUUCUUU
rnacentral:lncRNA from 12 species